UUAGAGUUUGAUCCUGGCUCAAGAUGAACGCUUGCGGGAGGCUUAACACAUGCAAGUCGAGGGGCAGCACAAGUAUUUAUAUUUGGUGGCGACCGGCGGAUGGGUGAGUAACACGUAUGCAACCUACCAUUUACAGGAGGAUAGCCCGGAGAAAUUCGGAUUAAUACUCCAUGUAUCAAUUAAUUCGCAUGAAUUUUUUGAUAAAGUUUUCAACGGUAUUUGAUGGGCAUGCGUCCCAUUAGCUAGUUGGUAAGGUAACGGCUUACCAAGGCGAUGAUGGGUACGGGGUCUUAAAGGAUGAUCCCGCACACUGGCACUGAGACACGGGCCAGACUCCUACGGGAGGCAGCAGUGAGGAAUAUUGGUCAAUGGGGGGAACCCUGAACCACCCAUCCCGCGUGCAAGAAGACAGUUCUAGUAAUUGUAAACUGCUUUUAUUAAAGAAGAAUAAGUUUGACUUGUCAAAUGAUGACAGUAUUUAAUGAAUAAGCAUCGGCUAACUCCGUGCCAGCAGCCGCGGUAAUACGGAGGAUGCAAGCGUUAUCCGGAUUUAUUAGGUUUAAAGGGUGUGUAGGCGGGAUAAUAAGUCAGUGGUGAAAGUUUUCAGCUUAACUGGAAAAUUGCCAUUGAAACUGUUUUUCUUGAGUUUGGAUGAGGUAUGCGGAAUGUGUAAUGUAGCGGUGAAAUGCUUAGAUAUUACCCAGAACCCCUAUUGCGAAGGCAGCAUGCUAAUCCAUAACUGACGCUGAUGCACGAAAGCGUGGGGAUCAAACAGGAUUAGAUACCCUGGUAGUCCACGCCGUAAACUAUGAUUACUCGCUGUUGGCGAUACACAGUCAGUGGCUUAGCGAAAGCAUUAAGUAAUCCACCUGGGGAGUACGUUCGCAAGAAUGAAACUCAAAGGAAUUGACGGGGGCCCGCACAAGCGGAGGAACAUGUGGUUUAAUUCGAUGAUACGCGAAGAACCUUACCUGGCCUUGACAUGCAGAUAUUAGAAGGGUGAAAGCCCGACGAGGGAGCAAUCUCAGUCUGCACAGGUGCUGCAUGGCUGUCGUCAGCUCGUGUCGUGAGAUGUUGGGUUAAGUCCCGCAACGAGCGCAACCCUUAUCCUUAGUAGCCAGCAAGUUAAGUUGGGCACUCUAGGGAGACUGCCGGGGAUAACCUGGAGGAAGGUGGGGAUGACGUCAAAUCAUCAUGCCCCUUAUGAUUCGGGCUACACACGUGCUACAAUGGCGUAAACAAAGAGAAGCAACAGCGCGAGCUCAAGCAAAUCUCAAAAAUAACGUCCCAGUUCGGAUUGUAGUCUGCAACUCGACUACAUGAAGCUGGAAUCGCUAGUAAUCGCGCAUCAGCCACGGCGCGGUGAAUACGUUCCCGGGCCUUGUACACACCGCCCGUCA
rnacentral:rRNA from 1 species